AGUGAACGCUGGCGGUAGGCCUAACACAUGCAAGUCGAACGGCAGCACAGUAAGAGCUUGCUCUUACGGGUGGCGAGUGGCGGACGGGUGAGGAAUACAUCGGAAUCUACUUUUUCGUGGGGGAUAACGUAGGGAAACUUACGCUAAUACCGCAUACGACCUACGGGUGAAAGCAGGGGAUCUUCGGACCUUGCGCGAUUGAAUGAGCCGAUGUCGGAUUAGCUAGUUGGCGGGGUAAAGGCCCACCAAGGCGACGAUCCGUAGCUGGUCUGAGAGGAUGAACAGCCACACGGGAAGUGAAACAGGGCCCAGCCUCCUAGGGGAGGCAGAAGGGGGAAAUUUUGGAAAAGGGGGGAAAGCCUGACCCAGCCAUACCGGGGGGGGAAAGAAGGCCUUCGGGUGGUAAAGCCCUUUUGUUGGGAAAAAAAACCAGCAGGUUAAACCCCCGUUGUUUUGAGGGUACCAAAAAAAUAAGCACCGGUAAAUUUCGU
rnacentral:rRNA from 1 species